rnacentral:miRNA from 1 species
CCAGUGGGGCUGCUGUUAUCUGG